GUCGAGCGGUAAGGCCCUUUCGGGGGUACACGAGCGGCGAACGGGUGAGUAACACGUGAGUAAUCUGCCCUUCACUUCGGGAUAAGCCUCGGAAACGGGGUCUAAUACCGGAUACGACACUUUUACGCAUGUAAUGGGUGUGGAAAGUUUUUUCGGUGGGGGAUGUGCUCGCGGCCUAUCAGCUUGUUGGUGGGGUAAUGGCCUACCAAGGCUUCGACGGGUAGCCGGCCUGAGAGGGUGACCGGCCACACUGGGACUGAGACACGGCCCAGACUCCUACGGGAGGCAGCAGUGGGGAAUAUUGGACAAUGGGCGGAAGCCUGAUCCAGCAACGCCGCGUGAGGGAUGACGGCCUUCGGGUUGUAAACCUCUUUCAGCGGGGACGAAGCGCAAGUGACGGUACCCGCAGAAGAAGCACCGGCCAACUACGUGCCAGCAGCCGCGGUAAUACGUAGGGUGCGAGCGUUGUCCGGAAUUAUUGGGCGUAAAGGGCUCGUAGGCGGUUUGUCGCGUCGGGAGUGAAAACGCCGGGCUUAACUCGGUGCUUGCUUUCGAUACGGGCAGACUAGAGGCAUGCAGGGGAGAACGGAAUUCCUGGUGUAGCGGUGAAAUGCGCAGAUAUCAGGAGGAACACCGGUGGCGAAGGCGGUUCUCUGGGCAU
rnacentral:rRNA from 1 species